GACGUCACACAGCAUGUGGGUCAAACUCUGCGCUUUAAUUUGAAAGGUAUCGCGGAACAGGAAUCACUCACAUCUGGUCUACCUUGUCUUCGUCACAUUGACCCAGUUUCAUUCAAGAGCGCUCGCGCUGCUUGUCCGUUUGAAUUAGCGGCGCGCGCGCGGCUGCUCUGCCUCCGUCAGCGAGCGCACCUUGCCACUUGCCUCUCGUGCGCCUCACAAUGCUGGAAACCAAGUUUGCUUCCCCGCGAUGAAUCCGGCCAACGAGACCGAGAGAAGCGCGGACAGAUACCUGUUCGCGGCUGGAACCUACAAACUUCUGGCGGUCGCCAUCGGAACCAUCGGAGUGUUCGGGUUCUGCAACAACGUGGCGGUGAUUUUACUCUACUGCAGGUUCAAGAGGCUCCGCACGCCCACCAAUCUGCUGCUGGUCAACAUAAGUUUGAGUGAUUUUCUGGUGUCGGUCAUCGGGAUAAACUUCACGUUUGCGUCGUGCGUCAAAGGCAGGUGGAUCUGGAGCCAGGCGACAUGCGUCUGGGACGGAUUCAGCAACAGUCUGUUCGGCAUCGUCUCCAUCAUGACUCUGGCGGCUCUGGCUUAUGAGCGCUACAUCCGGGUGGUGCACGCCCAGGUGGUGGACUUUCCCUGGGCCUGGCGGGCCAUCGCCCACAUCUGGCUGUACUCGCUGGCCUGGACCGGGGCGCCUCUGCUGGGCUGGAACCGCUACACGUUAGAGAUCCACCAGCUGGGCUGCUCCCUGGACUGGGCGUCCAAAGACCCAAACGACGCCUCCUUCAUCCUCUUCUUCCUCUUUGCGUGUUUCUUCGUGCCCGUUGGCAUCAUGGUCUACUGCUAUGGCAACAUCCUUUAUACAGUGAGAAUGCUGCGUUCCCUCCAAGACCUGCAGACGGUCCAGAUUAUAAAGAUUUUGCGCUAUGAGAAGAAGGUGGCGGCCAUGUUCCUACUGAUGAUUUCCUGUUUCCUGGUGUGCUGGACGCCGUACGCCGUGGUUUCCAUGAUGGAGGCGUUCGGCAGGAAGGCCAUGGUCUCUCCCACCGUGGCCAUCAUCCCAUCCUUCUUCGCCAAGUCCAGCACGGCGUACAACCCCCUCAUCUACGUGUUCAUGAGUAGAAAGUUCCGGCGUUACUUCCUGCAGCUGCUCUGCUCCCGGCUCUUCCAUAAGAUCUCCUGGCUGCAGCAGAACCUCAAAGAGCGCCCGCUGACGCCCGCCGAGCGCCCCAUCCGCCCCAUCGUCGUCUCCAGCGCCUGCGACUCCAGGAACCGGCCCAAGAAGAGGGUCACCUUCAACUCCUCCUCCAUCGUCUUCAUCAUCACCAGCGACAACUUCCAGCAGUUCAACGUCACCUCCAAGGCCGUAGAUUCCUCGCGGGUGAACGUCGUCCAACCCCAGACUUUUUACAACCGACUGUAAAUACCCAACUACACCUGAACGAGUCGUAAAGGGGGGACAUCCUCAUUAGACAUCAGCUUGGUGAUAGUUAAGAGGACAGCGACGUUUGGGUCAGCUUGUGAUUUAUGGUGAUACAUUUUGGUUGGUACCCAACUGCAAGUGUGUAAAGAAGAUAAAAAAUAAAGCUUUAGUUUCUUAACCAUAAAUACGUAUUACUGUAUGAAUUCAGGAAAGAGACUCUAUUUUAAGCCAGCAGGUUUGUGUUCUUCAUCUCAUUAUCCAGUGCGAUGAGAUCCGACAUUGUGAAGUGGCAUUUGGUGAGAAAAUGUGUGUGGAUUGCAGGAGUGUAAUUAGCCAAAAGGAGAUGAGAUCAGGGUGGGACACUGCGCUCAUAACCUCCUGGGUGUCAGCUAUAAAUAGACAUAAUGAAUGGAUCUCCAUGUCUAAUAAAAUCCCUUUUCA